UAUUAUUCAAGUAGAUAAUUU
ensembl:piRNA 21ur-11188 ncRNA